rnacentral:rRNA from 1 species
UACAGAGGGUGCGAGCGUUAAUCGGAAUUACUGGGCGUAAAGCGCGCGUAGGCGGCUUUGCAAGUCGGGUGUGAAAUCCCCAGGCUUAACCUGGGAACUGCAUUCGAGACUGCAUUGCUAGAGUAUGGGAGAGGGAAGUGGAAUUUCCGGUGUAGCGGUGAAAUGCGCAGAUAUCAGGAGGAACACCGGUGGCGAAGGCGGGUCUCUGGGCCGAUAUUGACGCUGAGGAGCGAAAGCGUGGGGAGCGAACAGG